AUCUUGUGACAGCAUGACCAAAUUGUUUCUGGAGUAGAUUGGUGCAAAAGCUCAAACAGAAUAGUUACUGUUUCGCAUGACCGUAAUUCAUAUGUUUGGAACCAAGAAACGACCGAAUGGGUACCCACUCUUGUUAUCCUUAGGCUAAAUCGUGCUGCACUUUGUGUACAAUGGAGUCCAAAAGAAAACAAGUUUGCUGUUGGAAGUGGGGCUAAAACUGUUUGUAUAUGCUACUAUGAACAAGAAAAUAACUGGUGGGUCAGUAAGCUUAUCAGGAAGCGACACGAGUCUUCUGUGACGAGUGUAGCUUGGCAUCCAAAUAAUGUGCGUGUUUCUCAACUCUUGUCUGGUACUUCUUUGUCCAGCCUGUGUGCCUAAAAAAUCAUUUAUGGGCCCAAUACAUAAUGGCUGCUUAAAGAAAGUGGCAUAUGAACACCAAAUUAUUUAUUUUCAAGCGGAAUUUAUAUAAAGCAUGGCGUGCUCUUAAGAGCACAUGCUUUAUUUAUUUAUGUGCCUUGACGAGAGCAAAUAAAUUUCAUUAUAGAAAGGGAAAAUUCAUUUUCUAGGUAGACAAUUUUUUAAGUUUCCGAAGUCCAUUCUGAAACUUAUGUGAUUUUUAAUGGAAUGGUAGGAUUUAAGAUUUAUUUUUGCAGUUGUUACCAGCCAAAGAGUGUAUUAUUGAGAAAAAAAUGGUUCAAGGCCCAAACAGAAAGCCGAGGUUGUGUCUUUGUGUUGUGCUAGACUAAGGUUAAGGUGUAAUAUUAUAUCAGUAAAAGUUGAUGCACAUACGGUGACUGGCUUUUUGUUUCUAUCAUAUUAAUGAAUCUACUACAAGCCAAGCAAUGGCAUUUCUUUUAUGCUGCUCCCCCCUGAAGCUGAUCAAGCAGUUUGUACCACUUACAAAUUGCUUAGAAGUUUAUUUCUAUAUUUUCCUUAACCUUUUUUU